rnacentral:rRNA from 1 species
GAACGAACGCUGGCGGCAUGCCUAACACAUGCAAGUCGAACGAGACCUUCGGGUCUAGUGGCGCACGGGUGCGUAACGCGUGGGAAUCUGCCCUUGGGUUCGGAAUAACUUCGGGAAACUGAAGCUAAUACCGGAUGAUGACGUAAGUCCAAAGAUUUAUCGCCCAAGGAUGAGCCCGCGUAGGAUUAGCUAGUUGGUGAGGUAAAGGCUCACCAAGGCGACGAUCCUUAGCUGGUCUGAGAGGAUGAUCAGCCACACUGGGACUGAGACACGGCCCAGACUCCUACGGGAGGCAGCAGUGGGGAAUAUUGGACAAUGGGCGAAAGCCUGAUCCAGCAAUGCCGCGUGAGUGAUGAAGGCCUUAGGGUUGUAAAGCUCUUUUACCCGGGAUGAUAAUGACAGUACCGGGAGAAUAAGCUCCGGCUAACUCCGUG